UACGUAGGAGGCAAGCGUUGUCCGGAAUACUGGGCGUAAAGCGUGCGCAGGCGGUUUGUAAGUUCUGUCGUGAAAGCCCCGGGCUCAACCUGGGAAUUGCGAUGGAGACUGCAAGGCUUGAAUCUGGCAGAGGGGGGUAGAAUUCCACGUGUAGCAGGUGAAAUGCGUAGAGAUGUGGAGGAACACCGAUGGCGAAGGCAGCCCCCUGGGUCAAGAUUGACGCCGCUCAUGCACGAAAGCGUGGGGAGCAAACAGG
rnacentral:rRNA from 1 species